AAAGUAUAAAAUGUUGAAUGAGAAACCCGAAGACCUUGCAUCGCUGGGCUGAAUAACUUGUUUUCUUUUUUAUGGUGUCCAGACUGAGUUCAUUUUUCUGAGGACCAAUGGUGAUAAGUGUUGGUCUGCCUAUCUUCCCAGAAUAAUCCAAGAUUUGGGGAAAGAAAGAGUAUUUUGCUAAUUUCAGUUUUCUUUCACAUUAAAAAGUUCAACGUAUCUAGAACGGAACAAAACGGAGAAAGCAAAGAAUAAAGCAAAGAAACAUAUAUUGGGGAAAGGAUACUGUAUUCAGUAAAUUGUGCUGGAAAAAGUGGUAAGCCACAUGUAGAAGAAUGAAACUGGAUCCCCAGCUCUCACCUAAUACAAAAAUCGACUCAAGAUGCAUCAAAGACUUAAAUAUAAAACCUGAAACCUUGAAAAUUCUAGAAGAUAACACCAGAAAAACUCUUCUAAAUGUUGGCUUACGCAAAGAAUUCAUGACUAAGACACCAAAAGAAAAUGCAACAAAAACAAAAAUAAAUAAAUGGGACUCAAUUAAACUGAAAAGAUUUUGCACACCAAAUAAAUAAUCAGAAGAAUAAACAGAAAACCCACAGAAUGGAAGAAAAUAUUCACCAACUAUGCAUCUGACAAAGGACUAGUAUCCAGAAUUUACAAGGAACUCAAACAAAUAAAUGAAUUCAAAUAUCCCAUUAAAAAGUGUGCAAAGGACAUGAAUAGACAAUUGUCAAAAGAAGAUAUACAAACAGCCAAUAAACAUAAAAAAAAAUACAGCAUCGCUAGUCACCAGGGAAAUGCAAAUUAAAACCACAGUGAGAUUCCACCUUACUCCCGCAAGAAUGUCCACAAUUAAAAAGUCAGAAAACAAUAGAUGUUGGCAUGGAUUUGGUGAAAAUCACAUCAGUGAAUACAGAUUUGGGAAGAAAUGUGCAUAACUGGUUUCAGCUAGCCAACACGCUGGUCCCAGUAUACCACUGGCUACGGCAUUCUAAAAGUGUCCUCAUAUGUAUCUAUUAAAUAUUCAAGAACUUUGACCAAUAUAUUCUCUGCCAAAUGCUCUCAAGAAAUCUUGGUGGAGAUGGUGUCGGGGUAAGGUGGGGGUUUUUCCGAAAUGGAAUCAUGUUAAUGUGGACUUAAUGUUAAAAUAUGAAUUUUCAAAAAAAUUUGCUUUACUUUCAGUAGGCUAAAUACCUACAUAGUAAAAUUUAAAAAAAUCUGUAAUUCUCUCUUAAUUUAUUCAUUAUACUAUUAUAUGUGGUAGGCAUUUUUUUCCUGGCUCUCAUAUCAUUUGUGUUUGUUUUAUACUAAUGAAAUACAGAAAAACUCUGUAGUAUAUAGAGCCCAAUGGAACUUUUAAGAGUGAGAAUUUUAAUUUGUAUAUUAUGGAAAAGUCAUCUCAGAAAUAUUAGUUUAUAAAUAUGCAGAUACAAUUUCUAGAAUGUCAAAAAAUAAUCCUUUCACCUGAGUUGUCUUAAGUAAAUAACUUUUAGGAUUUUUAAUUGGAUUAUUUAUGUAAUCAUUAUAAAGGAGAUCUGAGGUAAAUUGCUUAAGCAUUUUCUUUAGCUUUUUGCAAGACUAAAAAUGGAGAAUAAAUAUUUGCUCAAAUAUCGAGUCAAACUAAUUUUGAAGAGAAAUCUCUAAAUACUUUAUUAAAUGACCAAAAUAUAAGAAAAUGUUUAAAAAGACUGCAAAUAGAAACACAUCAGUUUAAAGCACACAAAGAGAUAAGUGGAAAAAGUAUUUUCUCAGAACAUGCUAAAAAAAACUUAGAAUAUCCAGGAUACUGCAUUUAUUCAUCCUUACAACAUGAAUUUUAAAUAUCUUAGCGACUGUGCUAUCAUUUUCAGUGUUCUGUAUGAAUUCUUACCUUCUCAGAAGAUUAUGUAGAUAUAACAGAUACUUCUGGAAUAUAUAUCCAUGAUAAGAUUUGUCUUUUUACAGGAGAAAAGAAAAUAUAUCAAGUCCAACAGAACUUAAGAAAAUACAAUUUAAUUAACUUUAUAUGAUAUAGGCCUUGUUAAUAUUAUAUAUCAAAAAAGAAUUCUAGUUUAUAUUCUUUUGUCUGUAAGAUGGGGGAGCUGUUGCAUUAUAAAAAAUACUGGUCAGUUCCAUUCCUCUAAGCAUUUUCUUUUGAUUAAAAUCAUUUGUAGUAAAAAUGAUGACCCAAACCUUUGUAAAUGAUAUUUUAGCUGGGUUAUAAUCUAAUGAAAUUGUGAUUUUAAAAGUGCUUCAAUUACUACAACUAUAAAAUCUUGGUUUACUAGGAAUAUGUAUAAGGUGAAGUAUCCAUUAUUUCUUUAACAUCAGUAUAUAUUGUUUAACAUUCUGCUUUUGGGCUAAGACUUCCUAGGCUUUACAGAAGAGAAGUUGUUUAUCUGAACAGUGUAAAAAUAUGUGUGUGUGUGUGUGUGUGUGUGUGUGUGUAUGUGUAUAAAAAUAUAUGUUCUGUUGUUAUUUAGUUAUGUCUUCCCUGAAAACACUGAUAGAUCCAACAAGUCUCUUGAUUCCUCUUAAAGAUAAGCAAGAAGAAGAAUAAAGUAUGUCACACUUAAACUUGAGUAAAUCCAAGUUGGAAAAACAGAAGCAGAUUUUUUUUUAAUCCUACAGGAUGAAUGUUGAGAGAGACAAAAAUAUUAACACCACAUAAAUUAUAACCUAGAGAAAUUCUAAACCAGGUUGAAAACCUACGCAUAAGCAGUCAAUAAUUAUCUUACACUUAUGCAAUACAAUUUUUUAUUACAGAAAGAACUUUAGUAAUUACCUCAUGCUGUAUAUAUGGGAAAGGAGAUAAGGAAGAAAAACUCUUUAUAGUAUGCAAUUAGUUAUCUCCUGCCUUAUCUUGGUAUUUGUAGAAACACUUGGAAGUAGGAAAAGUGAACAUUUGUAUCCCUGUUCUAUAGUUUAAAAAAUUGACACACAUAAGUUAUUUUUAAUUUAUCCAGUUAAUCACCAGUAAUCAUGAUGCUUUAUGAAUGACAAUUCUUUUAUAUUUAUUCAAAAAUAUGGGGAAAAUAAAUGACAUCUGCCUAUAUAACUUAAAAUUCUUGAAGAAAAUGUGUAUAGGAAUAACUUGGUAUGAAAUGUUAUAGAAAUGUUAGUUCUUUGUCUCUUAUAGUUACAGUAAGUGGCUAAUCAUCAUGUCUACGUUUAUGUAUAAUUUAUUUACAUUUUAAAAUGUUCUAACCUUGAAUACAUAGGGAACAAAUAUCUGAUGAUAGGUGUUUGCAAGGCAGCAUCAGUGAUUUUUCUUGAUAUUUUAUCUGAAAUAUCUGAGUAUCUACUAGGAAUCUAACAUGGAAAGGUAAUUACAUAUGAUGUUGGAAGCAAAUUUGUAUACACCCUAUUUAUGGCCAAGCAAAACAGUGUAAUGUGUCUGAGCAUGUAUGUGUUCCUUUCACCAGUUUUCUUGUGGUAGAAUUUAUAAAACUGCAUAUAUUCACAAUGUACAAUGUGAUGGUUUGACGUAUAUAUACAUUGUGAAAUAAUUACCACAAUCAAGUCAAUGAACACAUUCAUCACCUCAGCGUUUUCUAAAAUUACAUUUAUCAAACUGUAUUUGAAAGUAAAUGUGUUUUCUCAUUGUUAACCACGACUUUAAAACUUUAUUACAGAUUAAUGUUAAGAAAGCUACUGAAAUUAAUUUUAGUAAUAAAACAUCUGAAUAUACACCAUGAAAUGUAUAAAUGUAUGUGCUGAUUUUAGGAGUACAACUAAAUAAGUAAUGCAAACUUACUUGCAGGAUCAUCACUUUAACUCUGUCUCUCUCUCUCUCUCUCUCUUUAUAUAUAUGUCUCUCUCAUAUAUAUGAUAUAUCUUAUACAUCUAACUAUAUAUAUGUAGAGGAAGAAAGAGACACUAUAGAGUAAUACAACCUUUCCAUUAACUGCAUAUAAAGUCAGCCUUAUAAUAAUGCCCCUGGAUUAUCUGACCCUUUAAUAAAAUGUUAUACAUAUUUAGAGACUUGGAUUGUGCCUGUUUUUACUAACAGUUGUUAUUUAAAAUAUUAUUAGUAAGUUAAUUCAUAUAAACCAUGCAGAGAAGCUGUAUAACUGUGCAUAUAAAUAGUGAAGAGAAACUGAUCUGGCAUUCAGGGAUGUUGAGAUUAUUCCAACUCCGCUGCCAAUUGGCUGUGUGUCUUUGGAGAGGUCACAUAAUAUCUCCGAGCUAUAGUUUCCUUAUCAGUAACAUAGACUAGAUGAUUUUUAAAAUUUCACUCAGCACAUAAUUUGAUCUCUAACUUAAAAGAGCUGGAAUAAAAAUCACCACUAAAAAUUAUUAGCGUUACUAUGGUUGUACUUUGUUUUUAUACAUUACAGGCAUUAAAAACUACCUAGAGUUAAUUAGUAUUCGACAAAAUUAUUUCUUACAAAUCUUACGCUAUUCUGUAACGCAUGGGUCUAAUAUGUAUUUAAUGUAGCUUUCGUACAACUGCAAAAACUUCAAAGCAUAUCUGAACUUGUGGGUUUUGUAAGACUUGAACGCUAUAAAUGAAAGUAAUGGAAAUUUUAUUAUAUUCUAUUAUCGAUUGUGUGAUUAGAGUUGUUGAGUGGUAACUCAGUGUCUCAUGUGUGUGAAAGAGAGAGAAAUGAUGACAGUUGUAAAAGCCUAAGAUACACAAGACAGAAUAGUGGUUAGGAUCAUAAGCUUGGAAAUUAGAACCGAUAUUUUACUUCCAGUGUCUGCCACAUCUCAGUGGUAUGACUUUGGGAAAGUAGUUUAAUUUCUCUGAGUUACUUCAUCUGUAGUAUGCAGAUUACAAUAGCCACCGCACAGUGGGUAUAAAGAUGAGUAAGGUUAUAUUUUUGAACACGUAGAAGAGUAUCUGACAUACAAUAAGUGUGUACCGUUAAAGUAUACUUAAACAAAAUUUAAUAUUAAUAAAAGCUAUAUAUAGGUA
rnacentral:lncRNA from 1 species